AUUUGAAAUAAAGUGAUGUCAGAUUGAGAGUAAAGGCCCAAAAUAAGAAAAAGUAAUAGGCACAAUUAGCUUGCUUUACCUUUAUUGAUAACUAAGAUUUAGAACUGCUUUGCUGUAUGCUCACUGCUGGCUCUUUACACUUUUGGCUUCACUUUUUCAAAAAUAGGUGCUUAGUGGACCCCAGGGAAUGGAGGGCCCUGGACUACACC
rnacentral:lncRNA from 1 species